rnacentral:rRNA from 1 species
AUUGAACGCUGGCGGCAUGCUUUACACAUGCAAGUCGAACGGUAACAGGCCGCAAGGUGCUGACGAGUGGCGAACGGGUGAGUAAUGCAUCGGAACGUGCCCAGUCGUGGGGGAUAACUGCUCGAAAGAGCAGCUAAUACCGCAUACGAUCUAUGGAUGAGAGCGGGGGACCGUAAGGCCUCGCGCGAUUGGAGCGGCCGAUGUCAGAUUAGGUAGUUGGUGGGGUAAAGGCUCACCAAGCCAACGAUCUGUAGCUGGUCUGAGAGGACGACCGGCCAGACUGGGACUGAGACACGGCGCAGACUCCUACGGGAGGCAGCAGUGGGGAAUUUUGGACAAUGGGGGCAACCCUGAUCCAGCAAUGCCGCGUGCAGGAAGAAGGCCUUCGGGUUGUAAACUGCUUUUGUACGGAACGAAACGGUCUGGGCUAAUACCCUGGGCUAAUGACGGUACCGUAAGAAUAAGCACCGGCUAACUACGUGCCAGCCGCCGCAGUAACAC